rnacentral:rRNA from 1 species
GGUGAGUAACACGUGGGCAAUCUGCCCUUCACUCUGGGACAAGCCCUGGAAACGGGGUCUAAUACCGGAUAAUACUUCCACUCGCAUGGGUGGGGGUUGAAAGCUCCGGCGGUGAAGGAUGAGCCCGCGGCCUAUCAGCUUGUUGGUGAGGUAGUGGCUCACCAAGGCGACGACGGGUAGCCGGCCUGAGAGGGCGACCGGCCACACUGGGACUGAGACACGGCCCAGACUCCUACGGGAGGCAGCAGUGGGGAAUAUUGCACAAUGGGCGAAAGCCUGAUGCAGCGACGCCGCGUGAGGGAUGACGGCCUUCGGGUUGUAAACCUCUUUCAGCAGGGAAGAAGCGAAAGUGACGGUACCUGCAGAAGAAGCGCCGGCUAACUACGUGCCAGCAGCCGCGGUAAUACGUAGGGCGCAAGCGUUGUCCGGAAUUAUUGGGCGUAAAGAGCUCGUAGGCGGUCUGUCGCGUCGGAUGUGAAAGCCCGGGGCUUAACCCCGGGUCUGCAUUCGAUACGGGCAGACUAGAGUGUGGUAGGGGAGAUCGGAAUUCCUGGUGUAGCGGUGAAAUGCGCAGAUAUCAGGAGGAACACCGGUGGCGAAGGCGGAUCUCUGGGCCAUUACUGACGCUGAGGAGCGAAAGCGUGGGGAGCGAACAGGAUUAGAUACCCUGGUAGUCCACG